rnacentral:rRNA from 1 species
AUUGAACGCUGGCGGCAUGCUUUACACAUGCAAGUCGAACGGUAACAGGCCGCAAGGUGCUGACGAGUGGCGAACGGGUGAGUAAUGCAUCGGAACGUGCCCAGUCGUGGGGGAUAACGCAGCGAAAGCUGCGCUAAUACCGCAUACGAUCUAUGGAUGAAAGCGGGGGACCGUAAGGCCUCGCGCGAUUGGAGCGGCCGAUGUCAGAUUAGGUAGUUGGUGGGGUAAAGGCUCACCAAGCCAACGAUCUGUAGCUGGUCUGAGAGGACGACCAGCCACACUGGGACUGAGACACGGCCCAGACUCCUACGGGAGGCAGCAGUGGGGAAUUUUGGACAAUGGGCGCAAGCCUGAUCCAGCAAUGCCGCGUGCAGGAAGAAGGCCUUCGGGUUGUAACUGCUUUGUACGGUAACGAAAAGGACUCUGGUUAAUACCUGGGCGACAUGACGGUACCGUAAGAAUAAGCACC